UACGAAGGGGGCUAGCGUUGCUCGGAAUCACUGGGCGUAAAGGGUGCGUAGGCGGGUCUUUAAGUCAGGGGUGAAAUCCUGGAGCUCAACUCCAGAACUGCCUUUGAUACUGAGGAUCUUGAGUUCGGGAGAGGUGAGUGGAACUGCGAGUGUAGAGGUGAAAUUCGUAGAUAUUUCGCAAGAACACCAGUGGCGAAGGCGGCUCACUGGCCCGAUACUGACGCUGAGGCACGAAAGCGUGGGGGAGCAAACAGG
rnacentral:rRNA from 1 species